GACGAACGCUGGCGGCGUGCCUAAUACAUGCAAGUCGAGCGCAGGAAGCCGUCUGAACCCUUCGGGGGGACGACGGUGGAAUGAGCGGCGGACGGGUGAGUAACACGUAAAGAACCUGCCCAUAGGUCUGGGAUAACCACGAGAAAUCGGGGCUAAUACCGGAUGUGUCAGCGGACCGCCUGGACCGCUGAUGAAAGGCGCCCCGGCGUCGCCCAAGGAUGGCUUUGCGGUGCAUUAGCUAGUUGGUGGGGUAACGGCCCACCAAGGCGACGAUGCAUAGCCGACCUGAGUGGGUGAUCGGCCACACUGGGACUGAGACACGGCCCAGACUCCUACGGGAGGCAGCAGUAGGGAAUCUUCCACAAUGGACGAAAGUCUGAUGGAGCAACGCCGCGUGAACGAUGAAGGCUUUCGGGUCGUAAAGUUCUGUUGUAAGGGAAGAACAAGUGCCGCAGGCAAUGGCGGCACCUUGACGGUACCUUGCGAGAAAGCCACGGCUAACUACGUGCCAGCCGCCGCAGUAA
rnacentral:rRNA from 1 species